rnacentral:rRNA from 1 species
UCUUCCCUCUGGCGGCGUGCCUAAUACAUGCAAGUCGAGCGAACAGACGAGGAGCUUGCUCCUCUGACGUUAGCGGCGGACGGGUGAGUAACACGUGGAUAACCUACCUAUAAGACUGGGAUAACUUCGGGAAACCGGAGCUAAUACCGUAUAAUAUAUUGAACCGCAUGGUUCAAUAGUGAAAGACGGUUUUGCUGUCACUUAUAGAUGGAUCCGCGCCGCAUUAGCUAGUUGGUAAGGUAACGGCUUACCAAGGCAACGAUGCGUAGCCGACCUGAGAGGGUGAUAGGCCACACUGGAGCGGAACCACGGUCCAGACUACUACGGGAGGCAGCAGUAGGGAAUGUUCCGCAAUAGGCGAAAGCUUGACGGAGUAACGCCGCGUGAGUGAUGAAGGUCUUCGGAUCGUAAAACUCUGUUAUUAGGGAAGAACAAAUGUGUAAGUAACUAUGCACGUCUUGACGGUACCUAAUCAGAAAGCAACGGCUAACUACGUG